CAGUCGAGCGGAACGAUCCUAGCUUGCUAGGAGGCGUCGAGCGGCGGACGGGUGAGUAACGCAUAGGAAUCUGCCCGGUAGUGGGGGAUAACCUGGGGAAACCCAGGCUAAUACCGCAUACGUCCUACGGGAGAAAGCAGGGGCUCUUCGGACCUUGCGCUAUCGGAUGAGCCUAUGUCGGAUUAGCUGGUUGGUGAGGUAAUGGCUCACCAAGGCGACGAUCCGUAGCUGGUCUGAGAGGAUGAUCAGCCACAUCGGGACUGAGACACGGCCCGAACUCCUACGGGAGGCAGCAGUGGGGAAUAUUGGACAAUGGGCGCAAGCCUGAUCCAGCCAUGCCGCGUGUGUGAAGAAGGCCCUCGGGUUGUAAAGCACUUUCAGUGGGGAAGAAAUCCUCGGGGCUAAUACCCUCGAGGGAGGACAUCACCCACAGAAGAAGCACCGGCUAACUCCGUGCCAGCAGCCGCGGUAAUACGGAGGGUGCGAGCGUUAAUCGGAAUUACUGGGCGUAAAGCGCGCGUAGGCGGCCUGAUAAGCCGGUUGUGAAAGCCCCGGGCUCAACCUGGGAACGGCAUCCGGAACUGUCAGGCUAGAGUGCAGGAGAGGAAGGUAGAAUUCCCGGUGUAGCGGUGAAAUGCGUAGAGAUCGGGAGGAAUACCAGUGGCGAAGGCGGCCUUCUGGACUGACACUGACGCUGAGGUGCGAAAGCGUGGGUAGCAAACAGGAUUAGAUACCCUGGUAGUCCACGCCGUAAACGAUGUCGACUAGCCGUUGGGGUCCUUGAGACCUU
rnacentral:rRNA from 1 species